AAUCACGUAACUCACAGAAAAUUAGAAAACAAAGAGUUUUUUUUUUUUUUUGGACGAAAGAAAGCAAAGAGUAGUGGGGAUAUAUAUAUCUACAGGGACGAUUCCGUCCACAUGCCCAAACUUAUUCGCAACGGCUAUAUAUGUCUACUCUCUGUUUUUCCGUCAUAACGUGACUUGUAUGAUUUAUUAGGUGAUGUGGUGGAGGAGGAGAAAUUGCAAACUUGCAACUGCGGAGUAAAUUCAAUUCUGGCGUGUGGCGUGGUUGUAGAAUUUUCUCAAGUCAUGCUUUGGAAUUGGAAUCCCAGAUUUUGAAAAGUAAUAAAUUGUUCGUUUCAUUUCUAGACAUUAAUUGAAUAGAAAUUGGCACCUAAUGGCAUCG
rnacentral:lncRNA from 1 species